rnacentral:lncRNA from 1 species
GUCGAGAAUCACACUCUCCUCGACACCUACGUCACACGGGUAAUACCCUUGAAGAUAUCGCCUUUAUCCGCGAAUUCAAAACCUCAUCGGCACACAACCACACCAGCUCAUCACCAAGGUCGCAUACGGCAAACCACUACGCCGACCUCUACAACACCUCGGGUCCAAGAGCGAUUCUUUCGCUCACCACGUCCUAAUGGACAGGGACCUACAUAUCCUCGCAGUGAGAGUCUCAACUGCCAUUACCACAUAAUCACUAGCAUACUCUCACAUCCUUAUGGUUAAGCACCUAUGCUCAAACUCAUCUUGUCCUCCUUGACUAGUCAUUAUCCUAAGGAUGAAAUACGGUACACUUCGCACCGAUUACAUUCCAAAUUUCCACAAGUCCCAUGAGCAGUGCGAAUCGAUCGCCAACGAUUCACCAUAAUCCAACCUCACUCUCAGUCGAUCACACGAGGGACUUAUUUUACCUCAAUCACUACUUUAGCUCAACUCUUUCCUAGUUGGCUGUAAGGUACCGGACUUCUAAAAUUAUGAAGUUACGGUGUACAUUUGGUUUGAAAACCAUUUGAAUAGUUCUGGUGAGGUUGCGGUGGAAUGUAAUAUGUCGGAUUUUAAAUACAAAAAUGAAAAUAAAUAAAAAUAGUAUGAGAUACUAUUUUUAUUGGAUUUAGAGGAGUAAAACAUAAGUCAGAAGGGACUUGUGCUGAAAUCGGAAUGAAAACAGAAGAUCUAGAAUUUUCUGUUGGAAACGGGACAGAUAAAUUAGCAGAAAAUGCACAGUGUCAGAAAAUUAUGAAAACUGGA